GACGAACGCUGGCGGCGUGCUUAACACAUGCAAGUCGAACGGUAAGGCCCUUCGGGGUACACGAGUGGCGAACGGGUGAGUAACACGUGGGUGAUCUGCCCCGCACUUCGGGAUAAGCCUGGGAAACUGGGUCUAAUACCGGAUAGGACUCCGGACUGCAUGGUCUGGGGUGGAAAGCUUUUGCGGUGUGGGAUGGGCCCGCGGCCUAUCAGCUUGUUGGUGGGGUGAUGGCCUACCAAGGCGACGACGGGUAGCCGGCCUGAGAGGGUGACCGGCCACACUGAGACUGAGAUACGGCCCAGACUCCUACGGGAGGCAGCAGUGGGGAAUAUUGCACAAUGGGCGCAAGCCUGAUGCAGCGACGCCGCGUGAGGGAUGACGGCCUUCGGGUUGUAAACCUCUUUCAGCAUCGACGAAGCGAAAGUGACGGUAGGUGCAGAAGAAGGACCGGCCAACUACGUGCCAGCCGCCGUCGUAA
rnacentral:rRNA from 1 species